UUUGUCCAUGAAUUGAAAUUAAGUGAGGCAGAAUUGUGCUGAGUCAUGGGUUUAUGACCCUUCCAGAGUCAUCCAAGUCCAGUGGCAAGACAAAAGUCAGAAGACUGGCAAUGUACUGGUAGCACUGGAUGCUCUUGGCUUCUACGUUGAACCAAGUUCUCAGCACUCCACAGUGUCUGCUUUAGCCACUUAUAUGACCAAUGAAACAAAUUUCACUGGAGGAUGUCUUCACAUGCUUGCGGUGGACAGCUCCCAACUCACCAUCAGGAAUAAUGAACUGGAGGGAUUCCAUGUGAACUGGAACGACCUCCAGGGAUGGAUGCAGAGUGAAAGGAGCAGAACCAGGAGGGCACAGAGACGGAUACACUGUGGCACAAUCAAAUGUAAUGGACUUCUCUACUAGCAGCAAUUCAAUGAUCCAGGACAAUUGUGAGGGACUUAUGAGAAAGAACACUGUCCACAUCCAGAGGAAGAACUGUGGAAGCGGAAACACAAAAGAAAAACAUUUCCUUGAUCACAUGAUUCGAUGGGAAUAUGAUUGGGGCUGUAGACUCUAAACAAUCACUCUAUUGCAAAUAUUAAUAAUAUGGAAAUAGGUCUUCAUCAAAAAACAUGUAAAAACCCAGUGGAAUUGCUCAUUGACUAUGGGAGGGGGAAGGGAAAAAACAUGAAUCAUGUAAAGAUGGAAAAUAUUUUUAAAUUAAUUAAUUAAAAAACCUUUUUUUAGUUUUAUGUUGUCAGAAUUACUCAUUUGACCUCCUAUGAUCCUCUCUAUCUCUUGCUUGGUCAUUGUCUUCCUUUAUUUAUAGCUCUGACAGGCAGUUUCUUCCUUGUUCCCUUUGUGUAUGAAGUCACCCUUUAGGUCUAAAUCAUUUCCCCAUUUGGUGCUUACCUUGGAAUAUAGUGGAAGAUGUUGGUCAAUACCUAGUUUCUGCCAGACUGCUUUCUCAUUUUCCUAAUAGUUUGGGCUGAAUAGCAAGUUCUGUCCUCCAGCUGGGAUCUCUGGCUCUAUCAAACACUAAGCUACUGUGUUCAUUUGCUCCUGUAUAUUAUGUAGCCAUUCUAUUCUCCUAAAACACUUAUUGAUUUCUUAAUCAGCAACAGUUUUGUUUCAUGAUUUCAGCCUUGUAAUAUAGUUUGAGAUCCAAUAUUAUGAGGCUCCCUUUCUUACUAUUUUUUCCUUAUUAAUUCCCUUGAGAUCCUUUUUAUAAAACCCUUUCUUUCUGUCUUAGAAUUCUUUCCCAAUUAUAUAAUAAUAUUUUUAGCAUAUAUUUUCCAGAAUUAUAAGAUCCAAAUUAUCUCUCUCCCCCCUCCCAGAGACGUGCCUAGCACAUCAAUGUCUAUUGACUGAUCAGAGAUUAUCUGAUCUGGAGAAAAAAAAUUUUUUUGGUCAAGAAUAUCAAGGGAGGGUCACCUAGUGCAUAGAGAUCCAGGCCAAGAGACAGGGGGUCCUGGGUUCAAAUCUAAUCUCAGACACUUCCUUAGCUUUGUGACCCUGGGCAAGUCACUUAACCCCAAUUGCAUAACCCUUACCGUUUAUUCUUCUGCCUUGGAAAUAAUACACAAUAAAUUCUCAGAUCCCAGGUUAAGAACCUCUGCC
ensembl:lncRNA